AAUUAUUGAUAUGUGAUUUUUUUUUCUUUAUUUUUCAUAUUUUCUGUAAUUUUAUGAUUUAUUUACAUAUUUAUUGCAUUUAAAUAUAUAUAAAACAGAAAAACACAAGACUCGGCGUGAUUGGGUUUAACCAGGUCAGCUCGCUAACUUUUUGACUAGAGAGUCAGGUCAAAAAACAGGCUUUUCCAAUAAUAGUCUGGAGGAAGAACUUCAAUUGUGAUUUUAACGCAAACUAUUUCAUUCUCUUGUGAUUAAUUUUUGUAUAGUAAUUUCAAAUGCAAAAAUCUCAAUCCGAUGCCUUCCGCUGCAUGAUUGAAUUUCAAUCAACAUGAAGCCCAACAAAAGCAACAUAUGAUCAUGGUGUUCCAAAUGAAGAAGCUGGGUUCGAUUGAUCUGGGAGAAUAGAAGUCGAGAAGGGUAGAGGCCUUCUCCAGAACCCGAGAGGACGAAGAAGAAGAAGAUUUUGCUGAGGGUAAGAUCCUGGUGUGUGAAGCCAUUGAGGAAGGAUCGAAGCGCAUGUAUCGAAAACCCUAAAAAGAGAACAUGGAGACGGUUGGGGAGGAACCUUCAACGGUCAUUUUCCUGAUUACAAAGGGAGUUAUUACAACUGGGAGUUCAAGGAACUCUCAUGUCACCAUAGGUUUACAAUAUCAUUUUUUUAUGAAUGCUUCACCAAGAACCAAUCGAGAUUCGAGGGCACGAAUCUGUUACAGAUUUUUCCCUUUUAUCCUGCUUCAAAUCAAGAUCUGGGAUUUCUUCCUCGGCAACAUCUGCGUUACUGGAGUCCGCCGGCGGCGGCGGCUAAUGUGCCCAGAAGAAGGAGAUGGUGAUACUGAGGAUGUUAUAUUAACAACUGAUGGGAGAAAGGAUGGUACAAUAUGAAAGCAGCCAUGGCGAUAAUGCAAGCUUGAUUUUUCAUCUCUCUCUCUCUUUCUCUGUCUCUCUUUCUCUCUCGUGCAUGUGAAAUACUAUGAACAUACUACAUCCAAACAUAUUUAUUUUGAUGA